UUUAAAAAUUGAAGCAUUGCAGAUAUGGCUGUUGUGUCACAUGUUUGUCAAUAGGUGACAGAGAGGAGCGAGGCUAUGUCUAUGCUCAUGUUCUGACCUGUGAACACCUGAAUGAUUAAUAGUCUAACAUU